rnacentral:misc_RNA from 1 species
GCGUGUUUGGCUCUCUAGCUGGCUCCAAACCGGCGGUUGGCCAAUCAUUUUCAUUCCCCUUCUCAUAAGCUACCUUCACCGCCGCUCCAAUAACCCCACUACUAAACUCUUCUACAUGAAUCCUCCUCUGUUCACGGCCGCCACUGUCAUCGGUGUACUCACCGGCUUUGAUGACUAUCUUUACUCUUAUGGCAUAUCUCGUCUUCCUGUUUCAACAUCAUCUUUGAUCAUUGCUACCCAGUUGGGGUUCACUGCUGGUUUUGCUUUUCUUUUGGUUAAACAAAAAUUCAAUUUUUAUUCAAUAAACGCGGUGGUUCUGUUGACUGCUGGGGCUGUUGUCUUGGCCUUGCAUACGAGCAG